rnacentral:rRNA from 1 species
UACGAAGGGGGCUAGCGUUGUUCGGAUUUACUGGGCGUAAAGCGCACGUAGGCGGUUUGUUAAGUCAGGGGUGAAAUCCCGGAGCUCAACUCCGGAACUGCCUUUGAUACUGGCAAUCUUGAGACUGGAAGAGGUUAGUGGAAUUCCCAGUGUAGAGGUGAAAUUCGUAGAUAUUGGGAAGAACACCAGUGGCGAAGGCGGCUAACUGGUCCAGUACUGACGCUGAGGUGCGAAAGCGUGGGGAGCAAACAGG